AAGUCGUAACAAGGUUUCCGUAGGUGAACCUGCGGAAGGAUCAUUACAGAGAACCUCGCCCUUCUGGGUGAAUCUCCAACCCUAUGCUAUACUACUUAGUUGCUUUGGCGAGCCGCUUAGGCCACCGGCUUACGCUGGUGAGUGCUCGCCAGAGAACCCUAAACUCUAAGUUAUUAGUGUCGUCUGAGUACUAUAAAAUAGUUAAAACUUUCAACAACGGAUCUCUUGGUUCUG
rnacentral:misc_RNA from 1 species